UAUUGAAAAAAAAAAAAAAAAGUUUAUUCACGAAGACGCUCUCCGUCGAAUUUAGAAAUGGAUGUAUCAGAGUCUGGGGCUAAAAACCCAAGUGGCAUGAGAAACUUUAGAAACCAACAAUUUUCUACUCCUAAGUUCUGCAACAAUUUUCGACGUUCAUUGAUGCUUUGUAUCUACUUGAAGUGUAUUUGGUAAUUGGUGCUAUUUUAUUUGGUGACACCACCUCAUUGUCAUCUAAGAAACUCUCCUUCACAAGCAGUGUGGGUGGAGCUGUGGAGACCGUAGACUAGACUCAUAAGCCCAAAAGCAAUGUAUAGAUUAAAUUUGGAGAUUUUACUACUACAAGAGGUCUCAAUAAAAAGAGGACAUCAUUGUCAUAUAGUCUCUGUGCGACACCAUUGGCUUGCCCAGGGAGUCAGGGACAUAGAAAAAAGAAAAAUACGAAUGGGAUCAAGAAGACAAGAAGCACCUGGAUAUCUUCUAGCGGAUUGACAUCCAAGUAUAGAAGACCAUUGUUGAAUAGCUUGAAGACAGUUGGUUUCAAGAGUACUAGGAAUAGGAAUACAAGGCUGCUCAAACAUGUAGUUUAUCUACUUUGAA